AGUGAACGCUGGCGGUAGGCCUAACACAUGCAAGUCGAACGGCAGCACAGUAAGAGCUUGCUCUUACGGGUGGCGAGUGGCGGACGGGUGAGGAAUACAUCGGAAUCUACUUUUUCGUGGGGGAUAACGUAGGGAAACUUACGCUAAUACCGCAUACGACCUACGGGUGAAAGCAGGGGAUCUUCGGACCUUGCGCGAUUGAAUGAGCCGAUGUCGGAUUAGCUAGUUGGCGGGGUAAAGGCCCACCAAGGCGACGAUCCGUAGCUGGUCUGAGAGGAUGAUCAGCCACACUGGAACUGAGACACGGUCCAGACUCCUACGGGAGGCAGCAGUGGGGAAUAUUGGACAAUGGGCGCAAGCCUGAUCCAGCCAUACCGCGUGGGUGAAGAAGGCCUUCGGGUUGUAAAGCCCUUUUGUUGGGAAAGAAAAGCAGCAGGUUAACACCCCGCUGUUCUGACGGUACCCAAUGAAUAAGCACCGGCUAACUUCGU
rnacentral:rRNA from 1 species